CUCCUCACUGGUCUCCAGGCUCUUUGAGAACAGAGAGCAGGAUUAUUUGACUGUGUCCCAGGCCUACCAGCAUGCUCAACACUUAUGGCGGCAAAAAGUCUAGUGCCAGCCUUGAAAGUGACACGACUUACGUUACGGCAAAUUCGGAGGAAAAUAAUACAAAUUUUUAACAUAAUGAGUAAGAAAAGAGGA